GAUGAAGAACGUAGCGAAGUGCGAUAAGUAAUGUGAAUUGCAGAAUUCCGUGAAUCAUCGAAUCUUUGAACGCAAAUUGCACUUUCUGGUAUUCCGGGAAGUAUGCCUGUUUGAGGGUCAGUUAAAUAAAAAUCGGUGUUGUUGCUGCUUUUCGUGGUGACGCGUCGGAAUUGGGUCGUCUUACCUUCGGUUAAGUGACUUAAAAUUUUUUAUGAUUUUUGAACGUAUUUAAAUUUUUUUUUGUACGUUUGAGAUAUCGAAUGUUUAUUAGGUUCGGUCAUCCUCAUGACUCGCGCCUAUAAUUUUUCAUUAAAUGACCUCAAAUCAGGUAAGAAUACCCGCUGAACUUAAGCAUAUCAAUAAGCGGAGGA
rnacentral:misc_RNA from 1 species